rnacentral:lncRNA from 1 species
CGUCAAAUAGGCUAGGCUGUAAUAUUAGGUAAAAUCUAAUUUCAGUUUGGUUAUCACAUAGCGUUCAUUUCCCUAAGGGAGGAGAAAAAAUUAAAUUUGUAAGCUUAAGAUUCCAGCUGAAGUACUCAAGAAUCCUGUUUCUCUGACAGAGGAAAGGAACAACAACUUGACUGGACACAUCCUAACCCAACCAUACGCUGUGUUACUUCCUCCACUGCGCCACACACAGCUAUUAUUCUAAGCUCUCUUAUUCAAACCCUUAAGGAUUUGUAAGGAGAACACUAAGAAGAUGGGCAGAAAUCAAAGCUUCCUGGUGUGAGGUUGUGGUAGAAGAUUCCUGGUUGAUCAAUGUAUAGAAGAUGGAAAUGGAUUCCAGUUGUGGGAAGGAAGAACUCCUGACCAACUGGAAGAGAGUUCCUACCACAGAAAGAAAGGCAGCCAAGAACACAAUGUCCCGACCUAGCUCUUGGAAGUACUAAAUUUCAUCACGGAAACCACAGCCUCAAGGACAGAGGACUUAUCCAGAGUCAUCAAAUCUAUCGCUUUUUCUGCUUUCUGUUUUCUCUGAAAGAGCCGUGAAUGAUGAGACGACAAAAUAUUGGAUUAUUUGUGCUCUUGAAACAGAUGCCACCUGAGUUGUGACAGAGAUGGAAAUCUAGAAUUUCUUGCAGCUUGGCAGCAUAGGAGCCAAUGGGGUAGCAAUGUGAAAGUCAAGAAGUACACCUCAUCUCCAGGACAGCAAGAGUGAUCCCUGCCUGACAAUG